GCAUGAUUUGAUUUAUGGCUGGAGCUCUCCCAUGGUCCUGUCAUAGUGUACGACAUGCCAGAUCAAAGUGACUCCGAACCAUUGACGGGCUUUUCAACGUAGGCCCGGUUCACUGAAGCGAGUUGGACAUCA
rnacentral:snoRNA from 1 species